CAGAUUGUAUUAGAUACAUUGAGAGGUAUAAUUUGUGUCGAGUUUCUGUGAGUGAGAUCCAUUUCAGCAGAAUCAUGUCAUUUCCUGUAGCAACUCAGCCACAGAAUAUGGAGAUGAGCCAGGCACCAGGGAUGGCUGGGUUGCCACAAAGUCUCCAGUAUCUGGCGGGGUUGGAUCAAAUUAUCAUCAAACAGAAAAUUGAGGCUCUUGAAGGUAUAUAUCCAAGUUUUAU